AGUGAACGCUGGCGGUAGGCCUAACACAUGCAGGUCGAACGGCAGCACAGUAAGAGCUUGCUCUUACGGGUGGCGAGUGGCGGACGGGUGAGGAAUACAUCGGAAUCUACUUUUUCGUGGGGGAUAACGUAGGGAAAUUUACGCUAAUACCGCAUACGACCUACGGGUGAAAGCAGGGGAUCUUCGGACCUUGCGCGAUUGAAUGAGCCGAUGUCGGAUUAGCUAGUUGGCGGGGUAAAGGCCCACCAAGGCGACGAUCCGUAGCUGGUCUGAGAGGAUGAUCAGCCACACUGGAACUGAGACACGGUCCAGACUCCUACGGGAGGCAGCAGUGGGGAAUAUUGGACAAUGGGCGCAAGCCUGAUCCAGCCAUACCGCGUGGGUGAAGAAGGCCUUCGGGUUGUAAAGCCCUUUUGUUGGGAAAGAAAAGCAGCAGGUUAAUACCCCGCUGUUCUGACGGUACCCAAAGAAUAAGCACCGGCUAACUUCGUG
rnacentral:rRNA from 1 species